rnacentral:rRNA from 1 species
AGCGAACGCUGGCGGUAUGCUUAACACAUGCAAGUCGAGCGCGAAAGUGACUUCGGUCAUGAGUAGAGCGGCGGACGGGUGAGUAACACGUGGAUAAUCUGCCUUUAGGACUGGGAUAACCCUGGGAAACUAGGGCUAAUACCGGAUAAGACCACAGGUUCCAUGGAACCAGGGGUAAAAGGCGGCCUUCGGGCUGUCGCCGAAAGAUGAGUCCGCGUCCCAUCAGGUAGUUGGUGAGGUAACGGCUCACCAAGCCGAAGACGGGUAGCCGACCUUAGCGGGUGAUCGGCCACACGGGGACUGAGACACGGCCCCGACUCCUACGGGAGGCAGCAGUGGGGAAUCUUGGGCAAUGGGCGCAAGCCUGACCCAGCAAUACCGCGUGAGGGAUGAAGGCCUU